AGGGUUGUGGCUCAAUGGUAAAGUGCUCACCUAGUAUGUGUGAGGUAUGAGUUCAAUUCUCAGCACUG
rnacentral:tRNA from 1 species